GAGGCGGGAGGCGAGGAGGCAGGGAGGGGGAGCCAAUGGGCGGGCGCAGGCACGGCGUUGCCGUGAGGAAGAGGCAGGCGAGGGGCGGGGCCUCGGGCUGCCCCGCCCCCGCGGCCCCGCCCCUGCGCUCACACGCCGCCGUGCGCCGAACGCGGGCAGGGCUGGGGGGCACGGCGGCCGGUGCCGGGGGUGUCGCUGACGUUAGCGGCGAACCUGCCGCCAGCGGCGCCGCUCGCGGGACAGGGAGAAACGCCCGAAAAAAAAAAAAAAAAAGGGGGGGGGGGGAAGAGGCGGGGGCGGGGGGCCUGUGUGUCAAAUGUAGGUUGAGCGAAGUGCCUUAUGACCGGGGGCUUGGAAGUCCCUCAGGCGGCAGGGCCGGAGCCGGGCCCGGGCAGCGCCGAGCUCUGAAGGGACCCGGUGCCGCCGUAGCCGCGCCCCCUCGGCGCGGCAGGAGCCGCCCGCCCAGGGCCCCGCCGAGCCGCUGCCCGGCCUGGCGUGCCCCCGGCCGCAGGGCGCUGCCCCUGCCCUUCGGUACCGGCCCGGGUCAGACCCGCAGCCUCUCCGCGCCGGGCAGGGCCGCUGGCAGUGCCUCCCUCCCUCCCAGGGUCCCUCCCGCGGCCGGGGCUGAAGGCGGGCGGAGCCCCGCUCCUACCGGCCCGGCUGCGCAUGUGCGCGGGGGCGGUGGGGCCGGCCGGGGGGGGGCGCGGGCCUGCUUCACCGAACAGCGGCGGGCCGAGGGGGUGCCGGCCGGGCUCCGCCGCCGUCGCCGCCGCCCCCUCGCUGGUGAGGAAGCGGCCUUGAGCCGUGCCAGCCGCUGGCCCGCGCCGCAGCGCCCACUGUCCCCUCAGCGUCGGGCGGGUCUCGCACAGUUAGUGCUUGGGCUGUAAACAGGGACGCGCUGCUCGCUCCGGGCCGCGGGGAGCCCUGGUAGCCCCAGGUCCCGCUGCAAGGCAGGCGAGUAAGCGGGGCAGCGGGUGCUGAGGAGAUGCCUCCGUGGCGCUGGCCAGGGGGGCUGGCAGGUGUUGGGGGCAAAACAUGCCACCUGCGCCCCAGGUGUCACCAAAUGAAGGGCCCUUGGGCGUCGCCAUGCACCGCCCAUGCGUGAGGAGUUUCCUGCAGCGAGCUCACGUUCCGAGCGGAUUUCAGUUGCGUUUCUCCUUGCCAUCAGGGCUGUAAGGCAGAGGAAUGCUGGCAUAUGGAUGCAACUGAAGGGAAAGACGACUGCUAUCAUAGUGGAAAGUAUGGCAAGACAUGAAUCAGAAUGAAAAAGGCAAUAGAAAUGGGAUGCCAGUGAUGCUGUAAAAAUGUGUCUGGCACAUAUAUCCGUGACCCCUUCGAGUGUGCAGGCAGGAGAGGAAGAUGGCAGUACUGUAAAAACAUGCAGAGAUUUAAAAGAAUUGCUAAACUCUAAACAAUAGUCAAACCUGCUGAAAAAAGAAACGGUGGAAAGCUGUCAGAAGUGCAGUCAGAGUUACUGCCAGCUUCCCAACCCUUGCCAGCAUAUUCAGCUGCCUUUCGUCAUCUGGAUACACAGAAGCCAUCUACCAGAAUAGCCUCCUCCUGGCAUACAGGCUGAACAGGAAGAAGCUCAGCACCUUUCCUGUCCACACCAUCCUAUUUGUGCUGCUAACUUCGCAUCCUUAUCUCAGAUAGCUGCUGCACAGCUGUUGCCUAAAACUGGUUGGUUUUAACAUGAGCAAGUACUUUUAUAAUAGGCACAUUUUAAGCUGUGCUGUGAUCACACAUUGAUUCUCUGCCUGAGCCACGUCCAAGGUGUGGGACUCCCUGCAGUUACGGCACAGAGACUCAGUGCUGAGGACACAAACUUCCUGCUUUGCUGACAAUGUCUGCAUUGUGAACUUUGCCGCCUUCUGACAGCUGGAACGAGGGUUGCAAAAAUGAGCGCUGCUGAAUUACAGCAUGCCUUCCACCUGCUUGCCAUUUCCCCAGCUCAGCAGUUCCAGCCCAGCACUUUCUGACCACAUGAAACAUAUUCACAAUUGUCUGGGUGGGAGAUGUUUUGCCAGAAGCUGGAGAGAUGCCACAGUACAGCUGGCUGUGGAAGUCAGAGGUAGAAAGACAUGACCCGUCACCUUCACUCUGAUUCUUCUAUAAGGAGGGUCCUUUAUAACAGGUCCAUCUAACUCUUAGGCUGUGGAUGUUACGAGCAGCUCCACCUGAGCCACAGUGCUUUCAAACCUCUGGACUCUUCCAGUUUCACCCUCCUAGGAACUCUUGUGUGACGGAUCAACGUACAUGAAGGUUUUGCAGAGGAACUUCUUAAAGUCACCUUUGCUUUAUGCUCAUAAAGUCCAACAAAUAAUAAAAACAUUUCUGAAAACCAAUAAAUACCUAAAUGCCUUUCCCUUUCCGGGAGUACUUACUGCUUCUUGAGUCCUUAGGGGUUUGGACCGGUGUCUUUCAAGAAAUGGCAUGUAGCUGUGGCUCACCUGCCUCCACGCAGUCUUCUGGUUGUAGACAAAGUUUUUUCAUUUUGGGGGUGCUGUUUGCCCCCCUCUACAGUAGGAUCUGAUACCUUUAUUUCUCUCAGCUUUGAGAUUUUCGGUUCUUUUUUUCCAAGCAGAAGAGACACAUGAAAAGCCAAGUGCUCAGAGGACAGUGCUGAUGGUCCUUGAUGCCUUGAGCUGGAGCUGAGAUCAUUCUUCUGCUGUGAAACAUCCAUUAAUCAGCAUUGAAAGUUAAAAUUAAUGUAAGCAGAGUUGAGAUUUCAAAUUGAAUUUCUGCAG